rnacentral:rRNA from 1 species
GACGAACGCUGGCGGCGUGCUUAACACAUGCAAGUCGAACGGAAAGGCCCUGCUUUUGUUGGGUGCUCGAGUGGCGAACGGGUGAGUAACACGUGAGUAACCUGCCCUUGACUUUGGGAUAACUUCAGGAAACUGGGGCUAAUACCGGAUAGGAGCUCCUGCUGCAUGGUGGGGGUUGGAAAGUUUCGGCGGUUGGGGAUGGACUCGCGGCUUAUCAGCUUGUUGGUGGGGUAGUGGCUUACCAAGGCUUUGACGGGUAGCCGGCCUGGGAGGGUGACCGGCGACAUUGGGACUGAGAGACGGACCAGAAGCCUACGGGAGGCAGUAGUGGGGAAUAUGGCACAGUGGGGGGAAGCCUGAGGCAGCAACGCCGCGUGCGGGAUGACGGCCUUCGGGGUGUAAACCGCUUUCGACUGUGACGAAGCGGGAGUGACGGUAAUGGGUAAAAAAGCACCGGCUAACUACGUG